rnacentral:ncRNA from 1 species
UGUCUUCAGGGCGGGGUGCAAGUCCCCACUGGCGGUAAAGUCCGCGACCGGCUGAUGGGUUAUCAGCCGCUGACCUGGUGAAACUCCGGGACCAACAGUAUAGUCUGGAUGGAAGAAGAUG